rnacentral:rRNA from 1 species
AUACGUAGGUGGCGAGCGUUGUCCGGAAUUACUGGGCGUAAAGGAUGCGUAGGUGGAUACUUAAGUGGGAUGUGAAAUCCCCGGGCUCAACCCGGGAACUGCAUUCCAAACUGGGUAUCUAGAGUGCAGGAGAGGAAAGCGGAAUUCCUAGUGUAGCGGUGAAAUGCGUAGAUAUUAGGAGGAACACCAGUGGGGAAGGCGGCUUUCUGGACUGUAACUGACACUGAGGCAUGAAAGCGUGGGUAGCAAACAGGAUUAGAUACCCUGGUAGUCCACGCCGUAAACGAUGGGUACUAGGUGUAGGAGGUAUCGACCCCUUCUGUGCCGUCGUUAACACAAUAAGUACCCCGCCUGGGGAGUACGGUCGCAAGACUAAAACUCAAAUGAAUUGACGGGG